UAAACCUAGAGUGUGAGAAGGCCGAGUGCAAAACCUAACCUAGAAAUCAGCGCUGAGGGAAGGUAGCAGUGGAGAACCUUUAGAUUCUAGUUGUCAGGAUUUGGUAGCUGAUCUGAUGCAUAAGUAGUCUUGAAGGGUGUCUGACCUCUGGCCAAGCCCAGUGUCACCUGAGAGGAGUCCCCACUUGAGCUCCAUCAACACCUUGAGGAUCAGUUGAUGCGCCUGUGAACACCUAGGAGAAAUGUCCAGGAAAUAGACAAUUGUGUGGCUUGUUAGAAUAGGACAGGUUCUAAAAACGGAGGUGUGAAUCUUUACACCCGAGGUCCUGAGGCAGCAGCAUCCUAAGGAGUAACCUAAGUAGAGGAGAGGAGACUGGGUGGAACCAUGGGCUGCUGCAAGAUAUCAGGAGGAGGUGCUCUGUGCAGGAAGUGGCCAAGGAGCAUGCAUAUUGGCAAGGAUCCAUGGGAUCUGGCAGCCCUAGAGUCCUUAGCUGAGCUCUUUUUCAUGGGAGCAGGAAAACACAGAUGUAAUUGUGGUGGUGACUACUGACAGUAUUACAGACAGAUCUAGAAUCAUCUGAGCAUGUCUGCAAGCGGGUUUCCAGAUUGGAUUAACCAAGAUACUCUGUGUGGGGAGCAUCACCUCACGGGCGGCAGUCCGGCACUGAAAAAAAGAUAUCGAGAGCUGAGCAUCGACAUUCGUCUCCCUGCUUCCUGACUGCAGGCACAGUGAAGCCAACUACCUCACAUUGCUGCUGUGAUUUUCCCAUCAUGCUCUCAAACUGAGCCCAAACCUUCCUCUCUUCAUGCGCUUUUGUCGGGCAUUCUGUCAAACAACAGGAAAAGAAACAAAUGCAAAAACCAUUACCUAAUACUCUCUUAAAAUCUUUACAAACCAUGGAACUGAGUGCUGAACUUGUUCUGAGUUCAAGGGCGAGGCACCAUGUGUAUGGACUACGUAAGUCUGGAGGAUUUCAGGACUCGUUUGGCUGGAUGUGCCGGCCUCUGCUUUCUCUUUGGUACUCACAAUGGCUCUUUAUUGAUGAUGAGAUAUUUGACACUGAGUGUUUUACCCUGUUAAGAAUAUGACUCAUUCAAUUCAGUCAUUCAGUUUCAUCUCUCACGAUUCUUUCGCAUCUGUGUGCGCCUCCCGUAUCUCCAUGGUAACCAUUGCUGAGUCCUCUGGGUUCUAUCUUCUGAAUACUCUACGAUGCUUAAUCUUGGUUGCCUACUUGUUUGGAUUAAAAGCCAUCAAGAAAACUGACACAUCACACUUCUAGGCAUGGACAUGAGAGUGUUUUUCAAAGAGAAUUAUCAUACAGAUCAGUGACUCUGGGGGUGUGUGUGGAGGAGGAGCUGCCCUUGAAGACUGUGAGAGAUCCGGAAUGAUCCCUGGAGGCUGCCUGUCCAGAAGCUGGGAUCCUAAAGACAAGGCAGCACACUCCAUAGAUGACUGGUCUCUCUCUGGACCUGGAGCUCCGUGUUUCAGCUAGAUUCUGAUUUCUCCACUGGCUAAUCUGAGGACAACACAACAGACAUCAAGAGGGAGAAGUACAGUGGACUUCAACUCCUACAAGGGCCUACUCAAGUCAACCCAACUCUCUCUGCCUAAGGAGGUACAGUUCCCUGUAUUUCUACAGAGAUCAACUUGAGGCCUCAGGCCCUAAGCAAGAGUUAUAGAUGAAACCCCUCACCCGUGUCUCUGUAAGCAAACCCCAUCAAGCCCAUCAAACCAAGAAAAGAACUGAAGUCGUGAAAGCAGAAGCCUGGCUAGCUGGAAGACAUGGGAGUCAGUGGGCAGGGACGAGAGGUAAUAGGGUGACAUAAUCAAAGUGGAUUUUACCCACUAUGAGCACAUCACAAUGAACUGUUACGGUGUGUAAGUACUAUAUUCUGACAUAUAUGUGAAUGAUAUGUGAAAUAAAUUAAAUAAGAUGAUUACUAAAAGUCAUUGAUAACCACUA